rnacentral:rRNA from 1 species
ACGUAGGGUGCAAGCGUUGUCCGGAAUUAUUGGGCGUAAAGAGCUCGUAGGCGGUCUGUCGCGUCGGCUGUGAAAACCCAGGGCUCAACCCUGGGCCUGCAGUCGAUACGGGCAGACUAGAGUCCGGCAGGGGAGACUGGAAUUCCUGGUGUAGCGGUGAAAUGCGCAGAUGUCAGGAGGAACACCGGUGGCGAAGGCGGGUCUCUGGGCCGGAACUGACGCUGAGGAGCGAAAGCGUGGGGAGCGAACAGGA